CAGGGUGUAGCUACAACACAAAGCAUUCAGCUUACACCUGAAAGAUAUCUGCCACCCCCAGAUCACCCUGA
rnacentral:tRNA from 1 species